CAACGGCUUCUCUAACUUUAUUUUAUACCAACACUUAAAUUAUGGAAAUUUUGUACUUAUCAUUAUAUUAUUUUGUUAGUCAGAGUAUUAGACUAAAUUCUUAAGCUGAAAGUUAGUAAAUAUAUUUACAUGUUUUUGAUGCUUGUUAGGCUUGAUGCUAAUACAUUGAUGCCUUUUUUGUUUAUCUUUAAAGGAAAUUGUCCACGGAGAGCUAAUCCCAAUAUGUUUUCCUAUUAUAGGAUAAAUUGGCAUACUUCCGAAUAAAAGAACUCAAGGAUGUUCUCACUCAAUUGGGUCUUUCAAAGCAGGGGAAGAAGCAGGUUAGCAGAGGCUUUAGAUGAUGCUCUGUAUUUUACUUGGUUCAUCCUCUUGUUUGGAAUGCUUCUGUUGAAUCUUGUUCUUAUUGCCCUGUGUUCAUUGUUCACUCUGUUUUUACUUUUUUUCAUUUCUCUGCAUAUAGCUAGUAAAUAUUUUAACUUUUUAACAGUUUUUGGUGAGAUCACAUUAUUAUUAUUUUUAAAGGGUAGGUGUUAAGUGGAUUUUUUACUUCUCUUUUUCUCUUCAUGCUUGUUCUUUUUGUUUGCACCAAAUGGUAUUUUGAGUGUGCUGAGGUGAAUCAUGAAUUUUCACUCGUUUGGUGUGUUGCUCCUAAGUUUUUAAACGAUUUACGGGCAGCAGAUUUAGCAAGAGCCUUAAAAAUUUUGGGGGCUAUGAUAAUUGUUCUUUUGUCAGUUAUCAGUAUUUUUAAUACAAUUUGCAACCUCAUGGUGUGGGAUUAUAUUUGACCUUUCUGUAAAUCUCACUUGUAGGACCUUGUUGAGAGGAUAUUAGGUGCUCUUUCUGAUGAACAAGGUAAAAUAUUCUUUUCCUAGCUGUUCCUUCUGUUUGAAAAGGGAGCUUGUAGCCUCCAUAGUAAUUUAUGGAUUAUAUUUUCUUUUAAAUGUUUCUUUCUGGCACUACUUUUGCUAUCUUGUGACAUAUGUUAUCAGAGUGCUAGUAUUUAGCUGUUGAUGUUAUUGUGUCUUCAACUCAAUCAUAGUCAUACUGUUGGAUGUGAAAUGUAUAUUGUUUUCAGUUUUAGGGUGUAGGUCAGGUGCGGGGUCUCGGGAUGCGAUCAAGGAUAGUAAUUAUGCACCCGUUGUUCUGCCUGGUUAUACUUUUCUUCUAGUUUCUCAGGGUCACCGAUAUUGCAGCAUUUAACCCUUUCAUCUUCUAAUUUCAGUAUACUUUGUUGACAUUCCAAUGGCUCUUUGUAAUUUUUGUUAAGAGUGCAGUGUCUUGGGGAAGGUUGUAGACGAUUAUGCUUUUCAGUUGAAUUUUCACAUUUUCUGAUUUUUAGUGUCAUUAGACUGCAAUUAAUUCAGAUUUGGCUCUUAAGUCUGUUCAGAAACUACUACGUUCUGCUUUUAUAAUAAUGUUGGGCUUGCUUUCUGAUUUUCAGUUACGAAGAUGUGGGCAAAAAGGACUCCUGUGGGGAAGGAAGAUGUAGCAAAACUUGUUGAUGAUAUAUACAGGUUUGUAUUUAAAUUAGUUUGGAAUUAGUUUUUUUCCCUUCUGCGAACAAGGGCCGACUUACUAUUUAGAUAAGAUGAUGCUGGCUUACUGGAUUUAGCAUAUCAGGUUAUUAUAUGCAUUGAUUUUCUUUAUUUCCUCUUUCUGAAGUGUAUUUCUUGUCCUCAGGAAGAUGAAGGUUUCUGGUGCUACGGAAUUGGCAUCAAAGGGACAGGGUGUGUCAGACGGUAAUAAUGUUAAAAUUAAAGGAGAAGUAGACGAUCCCUUUCAACCAGAUGUGAAAGUUCGUUGUCCUUGUGGAAACUCAUUGGAGACUGACUACAUUAUCAUGGUAAUGAUAAUGAGUUUAAUGUUCUUUUCCUCAUUUUAUGUCAAAUGAUAUGGAUGUCACAAUUGUAUGUUUGGCAUUUUGGGGUGACCAGCUAUUUAAGAUUGUUUCUCUGGCUUUUCAAAUUGGGAUUUGUGUUUGCUUGAUACAAAAUAAUAUAUUAUGCUCAAUUUUUGUACUAUUUACUGCCUUUUGGUGGUAUCGUCUUAUGAUUUAGAAUUUUUGCGCCUUGACUUGCACACGCAAGCUAAGUCUUCAAAUCUCUAUCCAUGAAGUUGGUAGUUUUUCUAAAAUUCUUGUGGCUGUGAUCUUAAUGAAUCUAAUGACUUGUUUGACUGAUUUUGUUGGAUUUGAUAAUAAAGGCCAAUUUUGAACAAGUGUAUAGACUCGUGCACUCUAGACUUUCUCCUGGAUUUUCUUCUUGCCCUUUUAAUUUACGAUGGAACUGUUCAUCUACCAUAGGUUGACAUUUAGCUCAAAACUGAAGUAGGUGCCUUUCCCAGUGGCCUUUUUCUGCAAUAGGUAUAUUCUAAUUCAGUUUUCUAGGUUUGUCUACUUUCAUAUGAAUCUUGCCCUGAUGCAAUUGCAUGAUAUAGCUUGCUUCUCCUGUUUUUUUACUUUUAUUGCCUGCUUUUUAUUGUUUCUAUUCAUAAUUUCAAUUUGUAUCAUAUGCUUUUCUCCAUUUUGAGAAUGGAUUCAUGAAUUCUGAGGACAUCGUUUUCUGAUUUUCCUCUACAAAAUUGUGCUUCUUGCAUCUUAAAUUGAGUUAUUGAUGUUUUUGCUUUCUCUCAUUGCUCUAUGCAGUGUGAGGAUCCAAGAUGCCAAGUAUGGCAACACUUUGGUUGUGUUAUAAUUCCAGAGAAGCCUAUGGAGGGAAACCCGGCAGUUCCUGAUUUCUUUUAUUGUGAGCUUUGUCGACUGAAGCGAGCUGAUCCGUAUGUCUCUCCUCUGUUUAUGUGUGUCUGUGUUUGUAUCCGUGUGCUUCCAAAUUGUGUGAUCACAUCAUAAUUGAUGAUCAAUCUUCUUACUGGUUACAGUUUGGUUAUUGGCUGAAGUUCAAUGUCAUAAUAUAGAAAUAUGCCAAUUAUAUUUUAUAGUUCAGAUCUAACUGAAUGUGUUCUAUCUUUAUAAAUGUUAACAUAACAGACGUUUGUAUAUUAGUUUGGUUGGAUAAAGUUUGUUAUUAGGAUGCAAGAUUUGUAAAUAUUAUCUUACUUUUGUACCUUCCGCAACCUAGGGAGGAGAAGGGGAAAAAAGAGAUGAGUGUGAGGAAAUGUAAGAACUAGUUUUUGGUAGUGCACAUAAAAUCAGUGUUGUAUAGGGGUGCGCUUAGGUGUGCCUGCACAUGUGCCUUAGUGGUGGACAACAAAAGCACCUUAGACAUUGCAAAAUACUGUUAUUUGUAGCUAUACUUAUAUGCCUAUAUUGAUGUUCAAAAAGUUAAUACUGAAUCAUCCUUAUUAUUGAAGGAAGAUGCUAUUCGUCAAGCAGUUAGUGCUUGCUGCACCUUAUAUUUGUUUUCUACUGUGAACACUUCAUGAAGCAUUUAAAUGGUAUGCACUUGUAUGUAUAUAGUAUCCAUCUGGAUGCAUCAAGAAUAUCCUUUUCCAGGCUUAACAUUAGUGAGUUAGGAAAUACUGUUCAAUCAGUUAUACCUUGAUUUUAUGUUACAUCCUUUUAAAUCUUGAUGUGGUUCUGAAUGUGCAGUUUUUGUCUUACUAUUGCAAACCCUUUAUAUCCAGUGAAGUUGGCGAUUGCAAAUAUCCCUACUGAUGGGUAAGUUUACUAUAUGAGAAAUACUAGAGCUCUUCCCCCUCCCCAAAAAAGAACAGAAAAACAAUUUACUGGUUGUUUUGGUGUGAAUAUCAUUAUACUGUAAUCUCUAAUGCUUUGUGACCUCACUUAUAGUAGUUUAUUUAGUGAUUCAUAUCCUGCAUUUUGCAGUACAAAUCCAAUGCAAAGCGUGGAGAAAACGUUCCAAAUCACCAGAGCAGACAAGGAGUUGUUGUCCAAACAAGAGUAUGAUGUCCAGGUUGACUAGUGCCAAAAAAAAGUGUGCAGUUUGGUAUAUUGCUUUUUGUUAUUUAUCAUGAUAUUUUUGUUUUUCUUCUUGUCAAAUAGGCAUGGUGCAUGCUUCUGAAUGACAAAGUUCCAUUCAGGAUGCAGUGGCCUCAAUAUGCAGAUUUACAGGUCAAUGGUACGAGUAUUAAUGGUUUUCUUUGACUACUUAGCAGUUUAUUGCUCCUUUUACGGCUUAAUUAUUUUUCUACUGUUUAUUGAGGAGCAUACUUGGAUCUAGCUAAAAGGGAAAAUAAAAUAAAAGAAGGAAGCAUGUUUAGGUUUUUUUUGCCUUGGAUUUUUCCUAAUUGCAACUUUGUUCUCCAGCUCGAAAUCAAUAUAAUUUUUAUGCAUUCUUCUAUUUCAACUUUGAUCAGUAACUGAGAGUUUUUUAAACAGGUGUUCCUGUUCGUGCUAUUAAUAGACCUGGCUCUCAAUUGCUCGGGGCUAACGGUCGUGAUGAUGGUCCUAUUGUAAGUUCUGUCCUAUAAUCAUAUGCUCCUUAGAAUUUACACUUUACAUGUUCCUGCAUGUGUUUGGAAUGGAUGGGGAAGCCUGCCGGCAGGUUAUUGCAUGUGCUUGUUAAAGCCUGUUACUUCUUGUUAGCUACCUAAGAAACGUCCAUUGUCUGAACACUUGUUUAUUGUGUAUUUUGUGGCCAGAUAUCUCCAUUUAUUAAAGAUGGAAUUAAUAAGAUAACUUUGACUGGAUGCGAUGCUCGUGUGUUCUGUUUUGGAGUUAGAAUAGUUAAACGACGAACUGUUCAACAGGUAUGUUCAGAACUUCAACCCUAUAUGGAUUGUUCAUACACUGGAAUUGCAAGAUUGAUUUCUUUGCUGUCUGGGAAUUUCUGUCGUAAAAAAUUAUAUAUGUUCCUUUUUGCAAAAUAAAAAGCUCAGCAUAUAACGUUAUUUUCCAAUGCCUGCUAAUUCUUUGAUUACUUUAGGCAGUCUAGAUUGGUUUGCUCACAAAGCAGAACAGAAUGCAAAUAUAUUUAGUGCUGUCAUAGUUGACCAUGUUAUUUUCAUUUGACUGCAUCGGAUUUAUGUUUCAUGUUUUCUGCAAAAAUGACUACAGAUUAGACAUUUGACUGCCUAUUAAUUAUUGCAUGGCAUUUUGGGUGAGGUGCCUGUGUCAGUAUGACAUUGAAAUGGGUAUGGGAUCCAAUAAAUUAGACUGGGGAGAAUGCCACUAAAUUAAUUGGUUUCCUGAGGAAAGCUUUUUUGCCACCUUAUUUUCCCCUUUUGCCUUCUUCAAUUACUUUAAAAAUCUUAAUACGACCUGAUGAACAAGAGCGUGUCAUCAAUGAAGGUAUUCAGAGGAAAAGAAUGAAGAACAAAGAGGGAAUGGUGCUUUAUCAAGGCUGUAAUUUUAAUAAUUAACUUGAAGAGCUGGAAAAACUGGAGAGACUACUGUAGAGGAAAAAACUAGAAAUGAAGAGAAGGAAAUUGUGAGAUCAGAUUUGGGGCUUUCUAAUCUUUGUUAUGCAAAGGGCUCCAUUCUUCACUUUAUUAACAUGGUCAACUGAGUUUUUUUUUUGGUUCCUUUAUGGAUCGUUUAUUGUGCAUACUGUUGCCUGUUGGUUUGCAUAAUAUGGUCCCCUUUCAAUAGAAUAAUUGAGAAUUUAAGAAGUAAUGAGAUUUCUGCCUGAAUUUAUUUAAAUGUUUUGGGCUGGUAAUGAGGUUUACAUGCUUUUAUGAUUUUGGUUUGUUUUUUAGUUUCGGAACCAAAAAUAUCUAGUUUUAGCGCGAGAUAAUGGAUUUUCUCCUACUAAUGGAAAUAUUAGGCACUUUCUUUUGCUUCGGCCACAUAUUAUCAUAUGGCUUAGUACUAUAGAUUAAACUACAAACCCUGCAUGGGUAUGCAGCCCAAACUAACUUGCCUAUCUCUACUAUGCCUGUCCUAGAUACUCAACACGAUUCCCAAGGAGAAUGAAGGUGAACGUUUGGAAGAUGCUCUUUGUCGCGUUCGUCGUUGUGUUGGUGGUGGAACUGCAACUGACAAUGGUGAUAGUGACAGUGACCUAGAAGUUGUUGCAGAUUUUUUUGGAGUCAACCUACGCUGCCCUGUGAGUUAUACAGUUUUAUAAUAUGCUAGCGAUCUAUUGCCUAUAUUUCUGCUGAUGUGCACGAUUUUUGUUCUAAAAAUAUUACAUGCAAUUGAUUAGGCAUCAUUUUUCAAGUAUUUAAUUAGUGUAGUUUGUGAAGCAUCUCUAGAAUAGAUGGUUAUGUGCCCUGCAAAAUUCGUGGAUCAAAUUCUUGUAGCAUCACUUAUGUGUCAGCUUAGUUACUGUAAAAUGUUAAUAGUGGAGGAAUCUAACUUCUUCAUGUGUACAUGGUUGUAUUAAUAUUGGUAGAGGCUAUCAUGCAUGGUUACUUGUGCAUGGUCAUUAAUGAAUAAAAACCGGACUGGAGGUGAAAUUGUGACACCCCUGGUUCAACCGGUUGAACUGGAGUGUUCAGUUAAAAAUAAUUUAGUAUUAAACAUAUGUCUUUUAUAUUUAAUAUUCAAUACAAAUUAUUAGUUGAUAAGAAUUUGUAUGUCUUUACAUAUGAUUAAUUAGAAGUUCAAAUCUCAUCACUUGUAAAUAAUAAAAUUAACAAAAAAAUGGUUAACUACUGUGUUAGUUCAUGUACCUGAAUAGAUAUUCAGUGCCAACCAAUUUGAAUGGACUAUUUCUUCACUGUGCUAUCCUUUUACCGUUGCUUUGUGAUAUUCAUUUUUAUUUGCAUAUCCUUGACAGAUGAGCGGCUCAAGAAUGAAGGUCGCUGGAAGGUUUAAGCCUUGCGUUCACAUGGGUUGUUUCGAUCUUGAAGUUUUUGUGGAGCUUAACCAACGCUCUAGGAAGGCAAGCUACAAUAUUACAGUGCUUGUUAUUUUUUGUAAUUCUUUCAGGCUUUUUGACAAGCAUUAGCAUGAAUGCAGUGGCAGUGCCCAAUUUGCUUGAAGAACUACUCGCUGGAACACAUUAUAAUUGAUCCUUAUUUUAAUCGCAUCACAUCCAAGGUCAGUACCCUGUUCUAUAUUUAUCUUCAUGAUGUCAAUUUGUGAUAUUGAUGAUCGGCUAUCAUACAGAUGAGCAAUUGUGGCGAAGACAUUACUGAGAUUGAGGUCAAGCCUGAUGGUUCUUGGCGUGCAAAGGCUAAAAGUGAAAAUGAACGCAGAGAGCUUGGUGAUCUUGCACUAUGGCACUCUCCUGACAGUACCCUAUGUGAAUCAGGCAGUGUGGAGGAUAAGCCAACAGCUGAAAUUUCGAAGCAGAUCAAACUUGAAGGUACUUCUGAAGGACAGACAGGUUUGAAACUCGGAAUAAAGAAGAAUCAAAAUGGGUACUGGCAGUUUAGCAAGCCUGAAGACUUGAACAACUCUUCUGCUAGUAGAUUACAAGACAGGCUACGUCAUGAGCAAAAAUUUUUACCAAUGAGCAGCAGCGCUACCGGAAGUGGUAAGGAUGGUGAAGAUGCCAGCGUAAAUCAGGAUGUUGGUGGAACUUAUGACUUUACAAGCAACGGGAUUGAACUUGAUUCUGUGCCUCUGAACGUAGAUUCAGCAUAUGAAUUUACUGACCAAAACCAAUCUGCAACAGCAGGAAAUGCAGAAGUUAUUGUUCUUAGUGAUUCAGAUGAAGAGAAUGAAAUAUUGAUAUCUCCUCCAACUGUGUAUAAGGAUAAUCACAACCAAAAUGAUGGUGGGGGACUUGGUUUUCCGGUUGCACCUCCUGGAAUUUCUCAUCCAUAUUCAGAAGAACCACCUCUUGGGCCUGCUGCUAAUUUGGGUCUUUUUACUCCCAAUGAUGAAUUCGACAUGCCUCUGUGGUCAUUACCUUCGGGAUCUCAAGAUGGUUCUGGGUUUCAACUAUUUAAUACAGAUCCGGAUGUUGCAGAUACCUUAGUUGAUCUGCAGCGAAGUUCUCUCAAUUGCCCUUCGACAAUUAAUGGUUAUCCAUUGGCUCCUGAGACAACAAUGGGAUCUACAGCUCUAGUCCCUACUUGUUCCAUUGGUCAGGUUGAUACAAAUCUAAAUGACAGCUUGGUUGACACUACCCUCUUUGGUGGAGAGGAUCCCUCACUUCAGAUAUUUCUUCCAACGCAUCCUUCAGGUGCAUCAGCAGAGUCUGGUUUCAGAGAUGAAGCUGACGUAUCGAACGGCAUCUGUACCGAUGAUUGGAUCUCACUUAGUCUUGGAGGUGGUGCAAGUGUCGGCCAUGGGGACUCGACAACUUUGAAUGGAUUGAAUUCAAGGCAGCCAAUACCUUCCAAAGAGCGUGCUAUGGACACUGGUUAGUUCCCUUGCUCUUUUGGAAAAAGCACUAUAUUAAAAAUUUGGAAAAAAAUGUAUAUACUUGUAUCUGGCACACAAGUUUGAGAUUAGUAAUUCAACGCAUUAGAAUUUUUCCUAGCUCCAUCACUGUUCUGAAGUUUCUAGCAUUGAUUGUUACUUCCUUCUGCAGCUUCUCUGUUGCUUGGUAUGAAUGAGAGUAGAAAUGGGAAGUCAAGUAGGCAAAGAACAGAGAGCCCUUUCUCAUUUCCUCGGCAAAAACGGUCAGUUCGACCAAGAUUAUAUCUCUCUAUUGACACAGACACCGAGUAAUUGUGUUCGCAUAAAUUUAACGGCUACUUGUGGAUAAAUUUGGUGAUCACUCAUGAAGAACUGGGCUUGCAUUUCAGUUAAAACACGAAAUUAAAAUUUUCAGAAUGAAAGUGCUGCCAAAUUAAAAAGAAGGGGGCAGCUUCAACGUUGCUGUGUUGAUGACUUUUCCGAGGUGAGGUCGGAACAGGAGGCCUUCAAUUCCUGUAAGUGUUGAAACCUCAGAUUCUAAUACUAGUUUAUUCUAGGCGUGGUAGCAUAAAACAAGCAGUUUUUACCCUAGAGUUAAAAAGCAUUGAGGGAGGUCGUUUUUGAUAAAAAUGUACAGUUAAAUUGGAAUUUUGGGUAAAUGGAUAUGCAUGCAGUUGUGGGGGGUGAAGUGAGCACAAAAAGAUUCCACCUAUUUUGCCUAUUUUUUGGUCUAAAAGACAGUUGGGAUCAAAUAGAUUUGUAAAUUCACUUAAAUUCAUAGAGAAACCCCCUUUUUUUAUUUUAAUUGUGUUCCUUUUGGCUGAAAAUUUUCCUUUGGCAUUGCUGCUAUAUUUUUAAUAGAUGAAUGUGUAGCUUUGUUAUGGUGCAUGACACUUGGGAUCUGGUAUGAUUAUUAUUGUUUUUAUAGGGGUUCAUGGAAAUCGGAUCUAGUUGGGUCAAGCUGUUGACAUGUAUAAUAUUGAUCAAUAUCGUAUAUAUUUUGUUUACAUAUAUGAUAUCAUUAUUUGUACAACAGUUUAGGUCAUAAUGUUUUGCAAUUGAGUAAAUUACGGUAGUAAUCACCUAAUUAUGGAUUUUUUAAUCACUCAAUUAUAAAAUAGACUCAACCGCUAGUAAACUUUUUUUUUAUUAAAAGUUAUAAAAUGGUGAUUUAACCAUUUAAUUGUCUUUUUUUGUCAUCUAAUUAUUUUGAAUUUUUGGGUGUUUUUUACUUUUAUAUUAGUCAGCUGAGUGAGUUUACACCCCUUGCAAUUUUGGUUUCUGGUAUUCAUGUUUCUUCGUAGAAGAAUAGUGUUUUAGAUUCUUUUUAUAAAAUUUUGAAACGUUAUUGUUAUUAUUUAUAUCAUAAUGAUAUCCAUGUCUUUGUAAAAAAAAAUGCGAAAAUUAAUUCUUUUAAAAAAGUUUUUAUAAAAAUGUCUUGAAAAUUUCAUAUAUUUUUUAAAAAAUUAAAAACUUUAAAAAAUAAUCGAAUGAUUGUUGUAUUAUUUCAUCUUUCACCUCCGGCAUGUCUGGUAAUAUAACGUGAAAUAAUAGAAAUUAUGUGAACAGAUAUCAGAUAAAAUAUUUUAUCCUAACACAUAAAACAUUCAUGUUUAGCAAGAAGGAAGAACAUGAAACUGCAACAGUAAUGUGAAAAAAGCUAACAAAGUCUUAGUCUUCAUUUUCAGGUUGAAGAACUGAGAGCAAAUUCAAAGCUGAAGAGCCGAUAUGCAUUCCUCGAACUAUGCCUCCAUAUCCAUCUUUUAUUCUGUGGCACAAUAACAAUAUUGAAUCCCACAGUGCUGUUCUCCCCUGAAAAACAUAUACAUGCCAUCAAAUUAUUUGAUGAACUUAACCUCGGGACUAAAAUUCAUGUCAGACUCAUCCACUAUCCAAGUAACAUGGCAUCUAACUCGUAUGUGUUUACAUCUUUUCCAUCAACCAAAGAUUGUCCAAAUGAAUCUUAACUAUCCAACCACGACAAUACUACAUUUCCAACGAUUAACGAGAACGGCAAUUAUUCACCCUUAUAUCAUCUUCAGAUGCUGAUAUGGAAUUUCUUUAGUAGUUAUUAAUAAUUAUGACAUGCUAUUUACUGCCUAUGAAAAAGUAGUUAAAAUAGAGCUUUACCUGAAGAGAGAACUGCAAUUUCUUGUCCCAGUAUAAGGCGAAAAUGGGGAGACUCUGUUUCCCUAUUGCCAGUAUGCAAGCUCCAGGAUGAAGGGUCGAAGGAACACCAGAUACAAUAGCAAUGUACUUCUCUGGAAUCCUGUCUCUCGGCAAGGUUCCGAAGAACAAGGGAUUCUUACUAGAUUGAGCUCCAGCAUACGAAGUCGGGUCAACAUGUAACAUCCAUUUUGGAUGCUCUAGAAAUGCGCAAAACAGGUACAAGAGUAAGUGAGAAUCAGUUGGUAGUUCGUGAGUCCAUUUCUUGUUCUUUUUAUCGUAAACAUCCCCAUUUCCUUGAUACUCGUAAUUCUUCAAACAGGUUCCAUCAGCAAGUUCUGUGCAAACAAAUAGUGAUUCCGUAAUUUAGGUACACUGAAAAGUCUACCAAUGCAAAACAGAAACUGAACAUUAAAGGGACUGUUGAAAAUACCUCGAAUUCUUCGUACUGUAUAAUCAGCUCUCACACUGUUUUGUGGCAGCAACCCCUUCAUCCACUCACCUUUCAUCAAUGCAUGAAGCUUUUGGUGUUCGGUAAUGGCAUCAAUACACUCCUGCAUAACGGGGAUAAAAGGAUUUUGUUGAGGGAAUUGUAGUUGGUUGGCUAUAGGCUUAGCUGUAUUUUAUCAAAAAAAGUACCAUUAGCUAAGAUCGAUAAAACUCAACAAAUGCAAAAAAUAAAUAAAUGAAAGACAGCAUCGGGAGAACUUACGCGUGGAUGCCUCAAGAGUUUGAACAAGAGUUGCACGUAAUUGAUGGAGUAGCCCUUCUUCCUCAAGAGUGAAUGAUGGUUGCCAUUCCUUAGACCUAUCAGGCGGAGACAAAACAGCCGGAUUUCCAUUGGUUGAUGGAUCAUUUCCUACUUGAUUAAUGGUUACAGAGAUAUUGAGUUUAGCAGCCGCUUUCAUUACCUAUAAGCAGAGGAUUUGUGAAUCUCGUAAUUAAAUAUUUCCUGGGAUUCCUCUCAAAAUUAUUGAAAACAUCAUAAAGCUAAAACAUCAUAACAUGACGAGAUUAUAUGGUGAAACUAAAAUGAUAGCAUAGAUGAGCGAAUGAAAAACCUGAAUGUGACUGGUUUCAAUUUUGUUCAGUAGAGGGUUUAGUAGAACCGAAGAAAACCAUUGUCUAAGUCGAUCACGCCAGUGCUCAAUUUGAGGAUAGAUUCCCAAAUGCCCAAAAGCUUCAACAUACUCCUCCAUUGACAUCGGAGGUGGAAGCUCGCCUUCUCCUUUCUUCGGAGGAGUGGUAAAUUUUUGGGAACCGGGAGACAUCCUCACAGGCCUCAGUGGUGUACUUCUUGUAGUUCCAGAUGUAUUAGCUGAACUUGCAACAGUAUUCGGACUAGCUAUUCCAAAUCCACUGAUGGUUGGUGGUGGGGUAGCUAGUUUUCCUGCUGAUUCGGUGAUUUUCUCAUCUACUUCGGCAAGGAACUGUUCAAGUUGCUCUUCUGUUGUAAUUUCUUUGGCAUAGGAGGAUCGCUUAGUGGACCAUGGGGUUUUCACUAGAGGCUCUUGUCCCGGUGAAGUUUGACGAGAAGAUAAUGACGAAGUGGAUGCCGGAACAAGAUAUAAUGAAGAAGGGGAGCCCUGGGAUCUGGAUGGUGUAGCAAAAGGGCUCAUCUUAUUUCCACCACUGGUAUUUGAUUUAUUAGAGCUAGCUAGAGACUUACGAUCUGAGCCACUAAUUGAUGGAUGAAGUGGUACAAGAACAUCCGAAGAAGAUAAUGCUGCCAGGGGUUUGGACUUGGGAGGUUUCUUAUAAGAAUCCGGUGCAACUUGCUCAACCUUCGAUUUUACUCCUAAAAGCCCCAGCUGACGCUUUGUUAGGUUAGGUUGAUUUUUAGUUCCUUUAGAAGGAGAUACAAGUGACAAACAACUACUGGUGCUCCUGCUUCGAUGCCAAGAGAUAGCUUUGAAUAAGGCAAAAACUGUUCCAACAAAAACUACACCUGAUGCAACUUGUACUGCCUUGGCAAAUAUAUCUGAAGCACCAAUAACACAUUUCAAUAGCAGGAAACAGAGCACUUAAAUUCAAGAAUCAAAGGAAUUCAAUCUGCAAAUGAUAACUUACAAGCCACUUCAUCGGACAAAUUUCCGAACUUAAAUUUAUCAGCGAACCCAUUUCCACUACAUCAAUGUGAGAUAAAAUGAUUGUGUUAGUGAAAUGAAAACACAUUCAAAUUGAAAAAAAAAGUAUAGACAAGAAAGACAAAAGUCGGUAGCAUUUAAAAGGUUAGUUUUCUCCAUUUGAAAGCAGAGCAAAGGAAGAAAAACUCAAAUUUGGCUAGAUGAUUAUCGAGUUGAGCUCAAGCAGUUGACCAAGCUGAACUUGAGUAUCCUUAUGUUCGACUCAAGUAGCUUGGCAAUGUAAUAGCCUUUUUAAAUUUAUCAUAUCAAUACAUACUUUGAGCCUAAAAAUCCAAGAUUGAAGUGAAACAUGAGAAUCAAAUUCAUAUUUACUAAGUACAGAGCUUAAUUGAUUGCAUUCAAGCAAGUUCGAGUUGUUUGAUUUUUAUCUCAAAUCGAACUCAACCUUAAAAGGUGAAAACAUAACGAGUUAGACACAAGUUUUCGAGGUUCAAAUUUUGAACCGAACUAGAAUUCCUUACUGCUUGAGCUCAAACUCUGACUUCGAUUACACCCCUAAAUCCUACUAAUUACCUAACCCUAAUCCUAUCUCUGCUUGUCUCUUACUAAAUGAUGCAUAUUGGCCUGCAACAGUCCACAACAUAUCAUCGAACUACCUUUCCAUUGAUGAUUCCCUUACAAACCUCGGCUUUCUUUUAAGUAUUCAUUGAAACAAAAAGGAUCGUUUAAUGCAUUUUUCUUCAGAAACAAAAUGCAUAUCCAUCACUAGAGAGAAGAAACAAAACCCUUUUUGCUUAAACCCUCCUAGAACCCUAAAACAACCGCCAUAUGUAUAAAAUGUAUGUAUAGCAGGAAAAGACUUGAAACUAUUGCGUUUAAUGAAACAAAAGAAAAAACCCAAAAAGGGGAAAGUAAAGAACCUGUAAAUUGUGGAGAGGAGAGCAAAUGCAGAAGCAGAGGAGAGAGAAAGGAUACAAAGAAAAGUUGAUUUAGAGGGCUUUAAACUUAUCGCCGUUAAAGCGGCGGAUAACGUGGGGUUUUGGUAGACAGAGAACUUAGAGGGCUUCGACGGCGGCGAACCCCUGUCUUGGCCGGCGGCAGCUUCCAUGUUUUAACCGCGAAAAUUGGGGAUUUUGAAAGAGAUUUGUCUCUUUUUUUUCUGGGUUUAUGGCACCCCGCUCUAUUCUCUAGCAGCUUUAGGAACUUAAGCACAGACUGAACAGUCACGUUGGUUUCAAAAAAGGGUUAGGGUAAAGUACAACUAAGGUCAUGAAAUUAUUAAUAAAUUUAUAUUUUGACCAUUUAACUUCAAAAAGUUACAAAAUGAUCACUAAACUAUUUUAAAAUUUUAUUUAAAUCACUUAACUAAAUUAUUUAAAAAAAGUUUAUUCAAGUCAUUGAAUUAUUAGGGUUUCUUUCUUAAAUAUGACUGGUAAACUCCAAACGAUAAUUUGACAAUUAAUAUGGUGAAUUAGUACCUAUCAAUAAGUAAAAUAAUAUAUCUAAUAUUUAAGCCAAUCUAACGGUUAGUGUCGAAGUUUUGAAAAGAAAGUUAUUUAGACUUUGGUUUAUAAAUUCGUGACAUUCAAAUGUGUUUCAUAAAAAAACUAAAUUGUAAAAGAGAAAGGGAACGAGAGCUUUUGAUCUGCGUAAGCGAUACGAAUUGAAAAAGCCAUACAACAGUGAUUUUGUAACUUUUAAAUAGUCCAAUAACCAUUUGUAACUUUUUGAAGUUAAGUGACUAAAACAUAAACAUACUAAUAAUUUAGUGACUUUAGAUAUAAUUUAUCCAAUGAGUUAAUAUAACUUUUAGCCUAUUAACUUAGCAAUUAGAUCACAAUUUUUUUAAUCCAUUCUAGCAUUUGAACUUAAUGAAUAGAUUUAUUAUAAUCCAUGAAUUUGACAAAUAUAAAAACUUAACAAUAUGACACUCUGCAAUUAUGUCACGUCGUUGCCUCGAAAUUAAAAAAAAUUAAGAGUAUCAUGACAUCAAACUUGAUGAAAUCAAAGUUCAGGAUUAAAAUAGACUUACCAAAGAAGACAAAAAAAAUGUAAAUACGAAAAUAGACUUAAUUACUAUGUUUUUUUAGAGGGAUCAAUUUAAUCAAUAACGACAUUGAGAGAGACAAAGAAAUAUCCAUUUUUCCGAAUUCUAAGGUAUAUAAAUGUAUUUUUAUAUAUUAACACAAAUUAAAUAUAUAUACAACAUUUUAACUUUACCAUCGAACUAAAAUUUUAUUUUAAUAUAAUAUUUACAUUUUAAUUUAUUUUGCAAAUUAAUUAAAUUGAUGUUACAAAUUAACUCAAUACUAAAUAUUAAUAACAAUAGUACAAUAAACAAUUGUAAUACAUUUAGUAUUAUUAAUAUAAUUUAUUUACGUGUUUAAAUUUUAUUUUACUCACAAUUUAAUUUAUUUAUUUUUAUUUUAAUAAAUUAUAUAUUUAAUGUGUUAUUAUUAAUUAAUUUUAAAUUAUAUAUUUUUUAUUUAUCAUUCGCGUAAAUAGAAGUUCUAGUAGUAUUUAUAUUAAAUUAUAAAUUAAAAUAUAAAAUAAAUUAUCUAUAUUUAACCUAAUCAUAUCAAUGCUCGAACCUUCUCGUGCAACCUAUAAAUAACCCUGACCAUUAAGUUUAUUACCCUUUUACCCUCCCAUUUUCUCGCCUUUUAUCUUCUAUCUAAGAGAAAAAAAAAAUUAAAGGAGAAAAAGGGCAAAAAAGAAAAAAAAACAUUUCCUUCAACCAAAGUACACCAAACCAUGCCAAGAGGUUCAUCGCAGUCGCAGUCGCAAUCCUCCACUUCCUCCUCCACGUCCCGGCCGGGCGUUAUGGCUCCUCGCGGUUCCGCGGCCGCAGCAGCCGGUAUGCGCCGCCGGAGGAUCGUCGGAGGUUCUUCAUCGGCUACCGCCUCUGGAUCCGUGGGUUCCGGUUCCGGGGGCAACAUGCUUCGAUUCUACACCGACGAUGCUCCCGGAUUGAAGAUCUCACCUACCGUCGUCCUCGUCAUGAGCCUUUGCUUCAUAGGUUUCGUCACGGCUCUUCACGUUUUCGGCAAGCUGUAUCGCGCCAAAGCCGGAGCUGGACCGUGAGGGUCUUGGCUCGGACCUGAUCCUCUUUCUAUUCGGAUCUCCGAUCCGUUACUGAACCGGUAACUGAAUUUCCGCUUCACUCCUUUCUUCGUUUCUUUCGUUGUUUGACCGUUUCUGGCGUUUAGUCUCUGUAAAUAAUGAUGGCAAGCUUGUAAUUAUACAGUACUUUUGAAGGUCGUGAACCUUUUUAAUUUGCGUUCAAGUUUGAUAAAAUGAAUAUGCUUUUUCUCUUUGAAGUUCUUGGGGCUGUUCCCUCCUUUUGCUAGCUUUAAUCCAAAAGUGACGUCUUUCACGCUCGUUUUUUAGUUUUUUAAGGUAUAUGGCUUGGCUGCUAGUUUUCUUUAAUAAUUUAGGCAAAUAUCGGUUUGAACAUUGAGUCACGCAAUAAAUAUCGUAUGUGGCUCUUUUAAUCACUUUUUAUUUAAAUAAAUAAAUUAAAUUAAUUUUUUUCUGAUCGGAUCCGGUUCUUUUAGUUUUAAAUUUUAUUGUGUAUAUUGAAUUGAUUUUAAUUUUAAGGUGAGUUUGGAUAGGCGGUGUGUUUAACUGCGGUUAGUGUAAAAAUAGCGGUGGUGGUGAGAUUAGAUACUGUAGCGAUACUGUAGCGUGAGACAAAAAGUAAACUAAACGUAUCGCACCGCACUCAAUCGCCCAUCUAAACCCACUCUUAGAUGACGACGAGCUUAUCAUUACACGGUCCUUAAGGCACUGUUUUUAAACUCAAACCCAACUCGCUUCAACGAUUAGAUCAGAAAUCAAUAAUGAUAUUGACUUCAAGAAAAUUUAAAGAUUGAUCGGUAAAACAAUUGAACUAUAUGAAUUGAUAACUUAACCGGUUUACCAUCAAUCCAAUUCAAUUCAAUGAUGCAAUAUCAUCAUUUAAACAAAGUUUGUUACUUAAAAUACCGAAAAACAAGUAUUAGAUAUUAAUGCACUGAUAAGGUAUAUUAAACUUUUAAGAGAGAAUGUAAUUUUAAAUUUUAAAGAUAACAUUAUCAAAAAAGUAACUACGAAUCCCAAAUAAAAGGGAAAUAUACCUCUAUGAUUGGAUCAGAAACCGAUAUUAGUAUUCAUUUAGAGAGAAAAAUUAAAUUGAUUGAUCCAUAAAAUGAUUAAACUAGAUGAAUUCAUAACUUAACCAAUUUAUCAUCAAUCCAGUUCAAGCAUACGAAAUCAUCUUAAAUUUUGUUAUAUAAAAAACCAAAAAUGGCCUUAUUUUUCGCACAACUAGAAAAUUCAUAUAUAAACCAACAAGAAUUUGGAUAUUAGUGCAGUAAUAAGGUAUAUUUCACGUUUUAAGAGAAAAUGUAAAUUUAAAUCUUAAAGAUAAUAUUAUUAGAAGGAUAACUAUGAAUCCCAAAUAAAAUCUUUGAAUGGGUCACUCAUAUUCACUAGACAUAGUCGCAUUAUUAAACGUAUUAUGUUUGUGUCCUAUCUUAUCAUUCGAGUUGACUACAAGCACACAUUAUUAACCUUAAUAUUUUCAAACCACUAUCAUCCGAAAAGUAUCAAAAACUACACAUUUAUUAAGCAGAUGUUUAUUCACGAUUUGAUGUAUUUUAGGAUUUUAAUAUUCAUUAUAAAUAGAUUUUUAUUUCAUUUAUAUUCAUUAUCUCUAUUAAUAUAGACAUUGAAGAAGCAUUGUAAAUAUCUUCAUUAAUUAAUAAAAACCUCUUAUUUCUUAUUCUUUUAAUUUAUACUCGAUUUAUUUUUCUCACUUUUCGCUCGUGUGUUUUCAACCCUUUAUUAUUUAGUCCCUAUUUUUAACCCUUUCUUUAUUUUCCCAAUAGCCCCCCAACUCUGGCCUUAAGGAGAUCCUUAUGAACCAACCCCAAUAACUAGCCACUAACUUGAUUUCAAAUUUUAAUCUUUAUGCGUGUAUAAAAUCUAUAAAAAUCAAGCUAUUGUGAGGAUAGAGAUCAUAAACACAAUAUGCGAGGAUUAGUAGGAAGUUUCUCCUUUAAAUAUUUUGUUUCUACAUUUACUUUAAUUUUAAUUUUAAUUUUAAUUCAUUAUUAAUUAUAAUCAAUUCGAUUAACUUGUUUUUUUUGUAUCUUUCGAGGAUGGUGAAAAUUUUGAUCCCAACAUUGAUUUAUAGAGUAAAACUUUAGAUUUAUCGACAUAUUUUUAUUCAGGUAUAACUGUGAUUAUUUUUUAUUUUAUAACUGACUGAAUUAUCGUGAUAAAUUUCUGUGACAUUGAUUCUCUUUAAAUAAAGAAUAUAUUAGGACGGUUAGAAGUCUGUCCUAUUAGAUCUAUUGCAUUCCUUGCACUAAAUGCAAGCAUAACAAUUUUUGAUUAGAGCAUCAUAAGAUUUUAUACCAUAUAUGUGGUAUUAAAUUUUGGCAUAAUGUGUAUCAGAUAAUUUUCAAGCAUAAUAAAUAGAAAUUUCAUUGUUUUAUAAAUCGUCUUUACUAUUAAUUUACUACUAAUUUGUAAAUGUUAUUAUGAGUAAGAGAAAAUCUUGAUUUUAUAAAUAGUUUUUUACUAUUAAUUUAUAAUUGUUAUUAUUAAAGCAAUGAUGUUUUAAUACUUGUAAUUGUGCUUGUUAUAAUAGUCACGGUGAUGACGAUGAUGUUAAACAUCUUCGGGUAUAUUUUAAUAUGAUUUAUUUUAUUGCAACGUAUUUCUUUUUUUAUAAUUGAAGAUUAAUCAUGAAAUAUGUAGAAUUUGAGAUGUCAUAUGAAGUUGUCAAGAGGGAGAGUAAAUACGUGUUGUACUCUUCUCCCCUUAACCAAUGUUUUGUUCAGUUGAAUUUUCUUGGUAAUGUUUUUAAUGAGAUAACAUGUUAUGCGCAUUAUAAAUAUGUAUACUCUUUUUCCUUCAUUAGGAAAUUUUUUAUACACAGAUGAGGCCUAUUAUCUACCAGUAAACAUCCAAAGAACAGUGUUGUGAAUAUUUUAUUAUUAAGUGGAUGUUCAUCAAUAUCAAGAUAAGCUCAAUAUACUUCAAGACUCUAAUAUUCGUUAGAAGUAGAGUUUUAUUUGAUAGAUCGAUCGGGUUAAAACCUAUCAGAUUCAAAUUUUUUUAUAUUUUUAUUUGCAAAACUAAAGAAAUUCAAUAUUUAAAAAAAGUUUUAAUUAAGAAUGAAGAAAGAAAUGACAAGUUGAUUGAAUUUGAGACAUUUAAAUAGUUGAAAAAUACAAGCUACCAAUAUAUGAAAACAAGCAAUCAUCAAACUCUCUUGCUUUUAGAAGACAAUUUGAGUCCUGCUUUAGUUAUCCCAUUUUAUCAUGCCAACCACCUUUUAGCUUUUCCUUUUUAAUAAUUUUAUUAUAUUUAUUUUUUUAUAAAAGGUCUAGAACUAGCAAUAUUCGCUCCCUAACUCAAUUAUAAUUUAGAUUUUAUUUUUUUAAUACUUAUAUAUUAUUAAAUUUAUUUUUUAAUUAUUAUUUUUAUAAUUUUAAAAAAACUUAAAUUUAAAAUGCAAAAUAAAAUUAAUAUAAACCAUAACACAAAUAAUGAACAAUCAUGACUAAUAUAUUAACUAUUUUUUUAUAAAAAAUAUAAUUAAUUUUUUGCUAUGUAAAUAACAUAUAAAAUUAAGUAUUCAUAAUUUUAUUAUAUAUACUUAUUCAAAUCGAUUAUAUUAAUCAGCUCAUUUCGUUACUAAAAUACUAUUAAAUAGUAUUAAAUCUUUAAAUUUUUCAUUUUAAAUUAUGUCAUAAAAUUUGGCGUGUCAUUUGACAGUUUUAGUAAUGGAAGGAUUUAAUUGAUAUAAUCUCGACAGUUUAAUGAUGUAAUUGAUAAAAUUAAAAGAUAUAUAGGGAUAAAAAAAAUGAAAUCACCUCUAAUACUUACUAUUACUGACUCGUAACCCGAAUGGAUCUAAGUCGGAUUCUACACGGUUUGCAUGUUAAGCUCGCAUACCAAGUUCGCAGAUCGGGUUCGCGUAUUGAGUUCGCCAAUGAUUUUAAGUGUUCCCAAGAGAGGUAUUUUAUACUCCCCUGAGAGGUUACACAUAAGGUUGCACGUAAAACUGUAUAAAUAUGAGUUAAAUCUAGAAUAUGACACAGUAUUAACAUGCAUAGAAUAUAUUCUAAAAUAUCGCAUCAAUAAAUCUACCAUCCUACCAUCUAAAGAGUAGAAAAAAAAACACUCAACAACCUCAAAAUUCAAUAAUCAUAACAAUUAACUCUGGUGACAGUACUAUUUAAAUGAUAAAAAAUAUGGUAUAAAACAGAAAUUUAAAGGAUAAUAACAUGUUUUUAAAAACACAAAAUAACAAAAAAAAAACAUGCACUCAAUCUCACCAUAUUUUUCCCUCAAAAUCCCAUAUUUAAUUUUUUUUAAUUUUUAUUUUACUAUAAUCACAAAGAAAUUAAUGCAAUAACUAUGGCAGUAACCCCAAAUAAACCAACAUUGUUUCCUAUAGUGAACCUCACAGCUUUAGAAUUAUCAGUAGAAUCAUCAGCAGGACUAUCAGCCACAUCAUCAUCUUUCUUCUUCUUCGAUUUCGCCGGAGCAGGCGCUGGGGCCGGAGGUCUAGGAUCGAAUAUCUGUAAAGGCUGAAGAACUCUAUCUAUUUGAUAAACAGCAAGUUGACCGUCGGUAUAAACUGUACCGGAAACACUAGUAUUAGUCAACCCCGACGUAAUGUUCACGGUGUCUCCCGACGAGGUAACGUUGAGAGGGAACUUCCCGUCGCCGCUAUCACCGGCUUGGGUUCUUAAAGGGUUACUAAUGGUUUGAAACUGAGCUGAAGAGAGAUAAGUUGGGAUUAUAUGGAAUUGGAUUAACUCUACUUUUUGUUCGUCGGAAAGUGAGUUCAACGUGCCGGAUUUUAAGCUCGAAAAAGCACUGUCGCUCGGUGCGAAAAUAGUGAUCCCAUUGUUGGUGUUGUUGAGUUGGCCGAGUAACUGGUUCGCGACUUGCGUGGCUUUCAUUAACCGGAUAAAAGUAGAGAAUUGGCCGGCUUUUUCGAGGAUUUUUGUGACGUUGGUUGGACCGGGUGGUGCCGGGGAUGAUGCCGGUGCUAGUACUGGUGUUGCCUUUGGAGCUACCACCGGAGCUGCUGCCGGAGCUUGGGCUAAGGUUAAUAAUGUUGAACAAGAAGUAUGGAGGAGAAAGAAAAGCAUAAGGUGAUCAAAUUGCUUCAUUAUCAUAUACAAUUAUAUAUCACUCUAUAUAUUGAAUAUAUGCCUUAAAAACACUAUGUUUGGAUGUGUUUAUUUUAUAGGAAGAGAAAUGGGGGAAAUUAGGGUUUUUAUUAUGGGAGAUCGAGGGAUCAAAAUUAGGUAAAAUGUUCAAUUUUAGUUAGCUAAUUUCUUUUUUUAAUGGAAAUGAUUUGAUAACAUUGUUUCAUCAAACUCUAUUGCUUGGAAAAGCAGGAAAAACAACAUAAAUAGAUUUUAUUUUUUGAUUUUCAAAAUGGGAUUUAUUAAGAUUAUUCGUGUUCUGUAAGUUCAUUUAAAAAAUAAACCAUGAAAUACAUAUAAACUAUGGUGAUAUAUAAAAGUUUGUGUAUGAAUUUAUCAAUUUUUGUUAUAAAUACGGCUAUGACCUGAGAAAAUACGAUUGAACCGGAGAAUUAUUGGAAUUAUUAAAAUAAAAAAGAGGUGAAUGAUUGCUUUAAUUUUACUUUGUAUUUGAUGUUUUGGACAAAAAAAUAUACUUUUGAUCGUUACUUUCUACCUUAAGAAAAGAAAAGAAUGUUUCCACAGAAACAAAUUGAUGGAAAAUGGCUGCUGGUUUGUAUGCUAAUGGGAUAUUCAGCUGGCCCUCUUUUAAUUUAAAUAAUUUAUAAUCAGGGGUAAAACUAGUGCAGCCUAAAAUAGAAAUUUUUUUAUUUAAAUAUUUUAAAAUUUUUAAAAUUUUAAAUUAGUAAAGGUAAAAUUGUACUUUAAUCUCCUAAAAAUAUAAAAGUUUAAUUUAAUCUUUUAAAAGUUAUAAAGAUAUAGGCUAUUAAAAUUGUGAAAUUAUAUUUUUAUUAUCGUAAAAAUUACAAUUUAUUUUCGCCCCCCUUAAAAAAAAGUCUGAUUUCGCCCCUACUUAUAUUAAACCUUAAUGAAAAUAAUAAUGAAGUUGAAAUGUUUUUUUUUGUGAUUUUUUAAAAAUUAAGUAAUUUUCAUAUUAAAUAAAUAUAUAUGAAUCUUAGUUUUUUUUUAAUAUUAAUCUCAUUAUAAUUUUUUAUCAUAUAUGCUCUUUUUGAUACAAUGCCUAAAACUAUCCAUAACCCCUUUCCGACCCUUAAAUAGAAGGAUAAUGCACUUCAGCGCACUUGAAUCCACAACCUCUUGCAUAGACAACAAUAUCAAUACUAAUCAAGACAAGACUUAAUCGGCUGAACCUCAGGGUUUUUAAGACCUCGUCUUUGUUAUUAAAAUUAGGCUUUGUGGGUAAAACACUUUUUUUUCUAUUAAUAUGAAAAUACUUUAUGGCGUUUCAUUAAAUCAAUACAAGGGAGGGAGGGUUGGCGAUGGCCCUUAUCUUCCUAGAAUGGAAAAUUCUCUUUUAGUCUAUUUAUAAUUUAUAAAAUUUUAAAGUAGUAAUGAUAAAAUUGUACUUUGACCCCUGGAAUGAUAAAAGAAAAUCGAUUUAAUCUUUUAAAAAUUAUAAAGAUAUAGACAAUUAAAAUUGUGAAAUUGUACUUUUAUUAUUGUAAAAAUAUACAACUUAAUUCCGCCCCACCAAAUUUUUUUUUUGGACUUCGCCCUUUAAUCAAUAUGUAGUAUAAUACGAUAAGGAUGUUGUUAGCAGAUCAGAGACAAUUCAGAGAUUCACAGAAGUAUUUAAGGAGAAAACUUGUAAGUAGACCUAUCCAUGGGCCGGGCCAGGUUGGGCCCGGAAAAAAAUUUCGGCCCUCCUCUUAGGCUCGGGCCCGGCCCGAAAUAUGGGCCUAAAAUUUUGCCCAGGCCCGGCCCUGCAAAAAAAUAAGCCCGAGCCCGGCCCGGCCCGGCUUGAUUUUUAAUAAACACAAAAAAAUAAAAAAAAAAUUAAAGUAUUUUAAAAAUAAAAAUAAAAAUAAAAAAUAUAUACUUAUUAUAUUUGGGCCGGGCUCGGGCCAAAAAAGUUGAGCCCGAGCCCGGCCCAUUUUUUAAAUGGGCCUCAUUUUUUUGCCCAAACUCAUAUUUCGGGCCUAUAUUUUUACCCAAACCCUCCCAUAUUUUGGGCGGGCCGGGCCGGGCCUCCCAGCCCAUGGACAGGUCUACUUGUAAGUCAUGUAUUUGUCUUUUAUUAAUGUGUUUGUCAUUUUUGUUAGGUUGGUUAUACAACCUAAUGUAACAGAGUGAUAGGGCUGGUUAAUGACGAAUAAUCACGGUCUUAUCAAGAUGGUUGAUCUUGAUGCGGCUGUGACCAUAACGAGCUUUGUGCUCGUGCCUAGUUUUUGGCAAGAACUCAAUUCAACCGAAUAUAUGUAAUAAAGACAAUCAAACCCAAACAUAAAACAAGCCAUAAUAUAACUCAACAAGCCUGCCCAACAUUGAAUGGGCCUCAUUAAGCAAAUGACCCAAGAUAGGGAAAAUCCAAAGAUACAUUUUUUAAGUUUAGAAAUAAUAAGGUAAGAAUAACAUUUAAAAAUACUUAAUGAUAGUACAUUGAAUCUUAAUCCGAUUGAUAUGAGUAUUGUUAUCAAUGUAGGAAUAUGUGGGUUUGAGUGCUAAAGUGCAUUAUCCUUCUAUUUAUGGAUUAAAGAGUAUUGAUAUGAGUAUUGUUAUCAAUCUACUUGAUGGGCCUACAGAAUGCGAAAAAUUAGUUACUAGGUUCGCUCUAGUGGAUAUCUCAGGAAACUAAAAAGAAAAAUUCACAUCAACUACUAAAAAUAUUAAGGGUCCUAAUUAUUUAGACAAAUUGAAAACACUAUUAUUAUUUUUUAAUCAUUAUAAGAUCAUGAUAGAUUUGUAAUUUCGAUCUCUCUGUUAUGCUCACAUUUGAGAUUCAAUCUUCAUUAAUUUGAUGUAAUUUGAUAGUCUGCUUUUAUAAUGACAUUAGUUGAUCAAAAUAAUUAACAUCCUUAGCUAUAACAAUUAAAAUGAUUACGUUAAUUUCUCUCAGAAACACCUCUGUAACACUAUAUAUAUUUCUACAUGAAGUUGGAACAGGUAUUUUUAAGAAAAUUUGACCUCAACAUUUUGACCAAAAUAAUUAAGGUUAUCAACUAUUUCAACCGACUAAUGAUAUUAUGUAGAGAAACCAAAUUAUAUAAAAUUAAAGAAUAGAUACUAAAUUUUAAAUUUAAACAUAGCAUAUAGACGACAAACAUAAUUUGAUCUCAACAAUCUAUGCCUAAUAUAAAUUCUAUGUUUAAUUUUUUAACUUAAAUUAUAAAAAAAAUAUCAUGAACAUCAAUACAUCAUAUCUGAUAUGAAAAUCUUCCAGCACUGAUAAUAAAAUUUAAUUAAUCAAUAUUAUUAAUUCAAAUAUGAUAAAAAUAUAAAUAUAGUACUAAAACAAAAGAAAAACUAAAACCAGAGGAUUGUUAAGAAGAAGAAAAAACCUUAGCCACUCAACUUUCUAAAGUUAAAAUUUGACUUUGUUGAUGGUGGAGUGGCCUCUAAGUUAGUUACUUGUCACAGCCUCUUUAUUAAUAUUUUUUCUUCAAAUUUUAGCUUCAGUCUUCUUUAUUUUUAAAAAAUUUUGGUGGUUUUAAACCCCAUAUGUUGGCCUGGUAAUUGGGAUGUUUGUCGCUCUAGAUGCAAGAGUUAAGUCAAAAAAAAUUAGGAGGCUAAAAUUAAAUUGUAAUUUUUAAUAAUCUAUAUAUUUAUAAUUUUUAAAUGAUUAAAUCAAAUUUUAUCAUUUUCAAGAGGGGACAAAAUUACCUUUAUUAAUUUAAAUUUUUAAAUUUUCUAAAGGGCCUAAAUUGUCAAUUUUUCAUUUUAGGGGGGACUGGGGCCCUGCCAGCCUCCCCUAGAUCAGCCUCUGCCCAAAAGUAACAUGGGUUCAAAUCACGCCAGUUGAGUUACUGUUAAGGUUUUUGUUUUAAUUCAUUCUAUUUUCUUCAAAUUUUAUUCAUUAUGUUUUCUUUGAAUAUUUAUGGGUAACGGAUGAUGGUUUGUGGACUAAUUGUUUAAAUAUUUAUGGGGUUGUGAUUUAUAGGGGUUUUGAAAAAAUGGUGGAUUGUUUUUUGAGCGCUCAAAUUAGGGAUUAUUGUUGUUUGAUCCUACUCUAUAUGAUCACAUAAUACAAACCUCUACUUUAUUCAAAUUAUGUUUAGAUUAUUUUCAGAUUUAUUUAUACUUAAAUCUCUUGUUAUGUAUACGUGGGUUUUUUCAGAAUUAUUCAAUUUGAGAACUGCGCUAAAAGUAAUCAUGAGUCGGAUUGAAGCUUGGAAAUAUUUUUUCUUAUCUAGAUCCAAUGGUGUCAGCCACAAGUGAAAUUAAAAAAUUAUGCUGGGGGCUGGUUGAGUCUUAACUUGAUUAGAAUCGGCAUUAUUGCUAGUGCAGGAGGAUGAGGAUUCGAGUGCGUUGAAUCGUUAUUCUUUUAUUUAGGGGUUGGAGAGGGACUAUGAAUAGUUUUAGGUGUUAUAUAAAACAUAGCAGAUAUGAUAAGAUUAAUGUUAAAAAAAUUAUACUGGAGGAAUAGAAAUAAAUUAUAAAUUUUGGGAGCCAAAAUGCAAUUUUAAUUUUAUGUUGUCAUGUAUUUUUACAAAAUCUUAAAAGUAACAAGAAAAUUUCUCAAAAAAAAUAUUAAUAUUGAUUGAGCCUAACUUUAGUUAAUAUUAUUACUAUUAUAACAAGUAAAAAGACAUGAAUUUAAAUACGAUUAAACUUGUAUUUUUCUCCUAUUUAAAGGGAAAUACGAAUUAAGUGAAGGAAGCUGUUAGGCCAUUGAGUAAGACGUUAUGUUUAUAAGCCUUUUGGAAAAUUGCAACCCCCGUAUACCUAAGUUUGGUUAGGUUUAGCAAUUAGGGUUUAAUUAAAAGGAAACAUCUUUUGUGGUAACCAAUUAGCACAUUAAUACCAUGCAACAUAAAGCCAUGGAGAAGAGAUGGUUGAGGACCACCACUUGUCUCUAGUGCCACCACCCCUAAUUCAAAUCCAAGUAAUUUGUUUACUUUGACUAUCUAUAGGGUUCGCAUUGGAAUAAAAUCGAUUAUAUUUUAUUCUGAUAAUGAACGUAAUAAUCUUAUACUUCAGAUUUGAUCAUUGAGUUGAGCAUGAGGUACAUGUGACACAUCAUAUGUCAUUAAAUGGUUAUUUUGUCAAUCAUGCUUUUUUUUUUUGGUUUACUUCAUGUUCGUUUUACGAUCUAUAUUCAGGGUUCGUAGCUGUCUCUCUCAACAAUAUCAUCUCCAAGUUUCGAACUUGAGUCUUCUUAUUGGGAGUGCAAUAUAUCUUACUAUUGCACCCAAUCACUUGUUGGUCAAUCAUGUUAAUUUUUGACAGUACAAAUGAAUGAAAAUUUUAAUAUAAACGAUUACUGAUCUCUUUAAUUUAAUGUAUAAAGAUUAAUUUACUCAUUUUUUCAGAAUAAAAUAAAAUAUAAUCGUACUUCUAACCUCUAUAUUACUUUUACCCACAUUGUAUAUUAAAAAAUAUAAAUUUAAUAUUUAUCCCUUCAAAAAUAAUAUUGCAAGAAUUAAAAUAUAAUAUGAUUAAUUUUUUAAUUUAAUCGAAAUUUAAUAUAACUACCAAAGUAACAUUUCAAACAAACAAAAUUUAAAAAUUUGGUUGGUGGUUACAAUAAAUUGGAAUUUAAUUUCGGAUUGACAUUAAUUCGAGCUUUCAAAUUUGCAACUAUCUUCAAUAUAACUACCAACAUCUUCACCUCUCAAAUUUCAAAAAUCUUUUACUAUUCUCUUAGCUUUCACCGACAAAAAAAAUGGCAGCGAAGCAAACGACGAUCCUAGUUGCCGCCAUCCUCGUAACGGCUUUUUACGGCGGCGCGGCGACAUCGGCGCAGGCACCGGCAGCUGAUCCAGCGAUGGCCAUGUCGCCGUCCGCCAUGGCACCGACGCCGGACUGUAUGACGAACUUGCUCAACUUAUCGGAUUGUUUGACGUACGUGGAGGCCGGAAGCAACUUGACGAAGCCGGACAAGCCUUGCUGUCCGGAAUUGGCUGGGCUAGUGGAAAGUAGCCCUCAAUGCUUGUGCUAUUUGAUGGAUAAGAAUGCGACGGCGAACUAUGGGAUCAACAUUGACAUGGAAAGAGCUCUUAAGCUGCCUAAUGUUUGCCAUGUCAAAACCCCUCCUGUUAGUCUUUGUUCUGGUAAUUCUACCUUUCCCUCUUCUUUUUUUACAACCUUUCAUGAAUUUUUGAUGGAGUAUAACUGGUCUUGUUGUUUGGAUUGAGAAUUGGCGGGUAAAGGAUUGAAUAAUUUUGAGUGAGAAAAUAACAACCGAAAAUUAAAACAGGAAAACUGAUUGAAUUGAUUUAUAGAUUUUUUUAAUUGUUUAUUUAGUUAUUGGAUGAAUAUAACGAGGAGAAUUAAAUAUUGAACUCAAAUUUGUUAUAAUUGUUAGCGUUAAUUGUAAGAUAUUUUCAAACUAUACUUUCGAUUUUAAAUUUGGUUCGAAAGUUUAAAAAUAUUGUAAUUAAAUUUUUAAAUUUUUUUAGAAUAUUCUUUAUAUCAAGAUGGUCUUUUCCGUUAGUAUUUCAUAAAUUUAAGCUUCAAAUGUCAAUUCAAAAUUGAUAUGUAUAACUUUAGAUCUUAUGUUUUCGAAAAAGAUAGACGUUAACAAUUUAGGUAGAUUAUAUUUUAUUUUAUUACAUUGAAUCUAAGCUGUUAUGCAUUAAGUAUACACAUGUGUAUAAUUUGAUUUACGUGUUUUAAAUAUGCUCAAUAUUUUAUCCAACUAGAACUACUUGAUUGAUAUGAUAUUAAAAUAUUGAAAACUUAAUUAAAACAUCUUGAAGUUUUUGGACCAAUUUAACAUUUGGACCAUAGUUUGAAAACAUUUGUUAGAAUUAACCCAACAUUUUCAAAGAUAAUUACAAUAUGAAUUAUAUUGGUUCUUUUUAAUACAAUUUCUAAAUUUACUUAUAGUCUCAUAAAAUUCAUAAAUAAAAGAAUAAUAUGUUUUAGCGUACUUAAACUCAUGUCUUCUUAUAUUGACAAAAAUAUCCAUUCUAAUUGAACUAAAGCUCUAUCGACGAGUAGGAUUUUUUUUUGAUAACACAAUAUGAGUGAUUUUAUAGUAUUUUUUAAAAAUAUAUUUUUAAUGGUAAAAGUAUUAAUAUAUAAUCACAUUUAAUAAUAUACUUUGAAAUGAAGCUUUGACUGUGGAAUUUAUUAUUUCCCGAGGCUGUUUUAUAUAGUCUAUAAUAGUAGAAACAUAAUAUAUUUAUAAAUCAUAUAAAUUUUGGUUAAUACAUAUAUUCAUGAUAUUUUUUAUUUUAUUUUUUAAUGUUAAUUUUUAUACAUUAUAUUUAAAGAAUAGUUUGGGUGAUGGGGGGGAUAUAGUUGGGUCUCAUUUAAUAUGUUUGAUGGGGGCAUUUAAGGUUUCUCGGUUAGCUCUCAACUAAUUUUACCGCUCUGUCUUUUUUCCAAAUAAAUGAAUCACGUGCACACUGCCUUUUUCAUUUAAAUAAGAUUUUAUUACCAAAACAUUAAUGUUAUUUUUAAAAAAAAUCGUAAAAAUUGUUAAUUUUCACACGAGAAAUUAUUUUAUGUAAUUUUCUCAUAUUAUUCAUAAUUUUUAAUUAUUUAAUUAUAUUUCAAUAAAUUUUUUUUAUGUUAAUACAUAAUUUUAGUAAUUUUUUUUAUCUUGAACCAUAGUCCUGAAAUCUCAAAUCUUAAAUCUCAAAUCCUAAAUUUCGAACCUCAAAUUAUUUGAAAUUUAAAGUUUGAGGUUUGAAUUUGCGGUUCAAAAGUUCAUGUUUGAGAUUUAAAGUUCAGGAUUAAGGUUUAAAAUUUUGGAUUCUAGGUAAAAAAAUUAUUAUCACAUAUUAUAUUUAAUGUAAAUAUUAUUAUCAUUAAAAUUUUAAUUGAUAUUAACAAUUUGUAAUCCAAUUCUCGUCUCAAAAUUUUAAAAAUAGAACUUAAUCAAACUUUAAAAUCAAGUUUUAUUCAUUUACAUAAACCUUGAACUUUAAAUUUAAUAGUUGAAGUAUUAACAUUUAUUUCCAUGAAUUCAAACAGCUAUCAUCGGGGCUCCAAUCGGAGUUCCAACUCAAAGCACUGAAGGACUUGUGUCGCCAGCAUCCGAGCCAACAGGUUCCGUAGCAUACGGACCGUCUCCAUCCGCCAUGGCACCAACACCGGACUGCAUGACAAACUUGUUUAACUUGUCGGAUUGUUUGGGGUACGUGACGGCUGGAAGCAACCUAACGAAGCCGGACAAACCUUGUUGCCCGGAGUUGGCCGGGCUCGUGGAAAGCAGCCCUCAGUGUUUAUGUUUAUUGUUGGAUAAAAACGCGACCUCGAGUUAUGGGGUCGACAUUGACAUCGAUAGAGCUCUUAAGCUACCUAAUGUUUGCCAUGUUAAAACCCCUCCCGUUAGUCUCUGCUCUAGUAAGUAUAUUACUUUCUUUUAAGAAUUUAAUUAAGUCUUAAAAGUAUGGAUAAAAUAUCAAUCGAGAUAUUUAUUUAACUUAAUCAUUAUCUCCAACAUUAUAAGUUAAAUAUAUUGCAAAUACGUAAU
rnacentral:lncRNA from 1 species